rnacentral:rRNA from 1 species
AUACGUAGGAACCAAGCGUUGUCCGGAAUUACUGGGUGUAAAGGGUGCGCAGGCGGAUUUGUGCGUCAAGGGUUAAAUACCUCGGCUCAACCGAGGAAAUGCCUUUGAUACGGCAAGUCUUGAGUACGAGAGAGGAUGGUAGAAUUCCUGGUGUAGCGGUGAAAUGCGUAGAUAUCAGGAGGAAUACCCGUGGCGAAGGCGGCCAUCUGGCUCGUUACUGACGCUCAGGCACGAAAGCGUGGGGAGCAAACAGGAUUAGAAACCCUAGUAGUCC